CAUGCAAGUCGAGCGGUAGAGAAGGAGCUUGCUUCUUCUUGAGAGCGGCGGACGGGUGAGUAAUGCCUAGGAAUCUGCCUGGUAGUGGGGGACAACGUUUCGAAAGGAACGCUAAUACCGCAUACGUCCUACGGGAGAAAGUGGGGGAUCUUCGGACCUCACGCUAUCAGAUGAGCCUAGGUCGGAUUAGCUUGUAGGUGAGGUAAUGGCUCACCUAGGCAACGAUCCGUAACUGGUCUGAGAGGAUGAUCAGUCACACUGGAACUGAGACACGGUCCAGACUCCUACGGGAGGCAGCAGUGGGGAAUAUUGGACAAUGGGCGAAAGCCUGAUCCAGCCAUGCCGCGUGUGUGAAGAAGGUCUUCGGAUUGUAAAGCACUUUAAGUUGGGAGGAAGGGUUGUAGCUUAAUACGCUGCAACCUUGACGUUAUCAACAGAAUGAGCUCCGGCUAACUCUGUGC
rnacentral:rRNA from 1 species